UGAGCAAUCUGCCCUUCUCUUCGGAAUAAGCGUUGGAAACGACGUCUAAUGCCGAAUACGACCUCCUUUCGCAUGAUCGGAGGUGGAAAGCUCCGGCGGAGAAGGAUGAGCUCGCGGCCUAUCAGCUAGUUGGUGUGGGUAAUGGCCCACAAGGCGACGACGGGUAGCUGGUCUGAGAGGACGGCCAGCCACAUUGGGACUGAGACACGGCCCAGACCUCCGUAGGGACGG
rnacentral:rRNA from 1 species